UACAGAGGGUGCGAGCGUUAAUCGGAUUUACUGGGCGUAAAGCGUGCGUAGGUGGUUUGUUAAGUCGGAUGUGAAAUCCCAUUGCUCAACCUUGGAAUUGCAUUCGCUACUGGUAGACUAGAGAUCGGUAGAGGUCAGUGGAAUUCCAGGUGUAGCGGUGAAAUGCGUAGAUAUCUGGAGGAACAUCGAUGGCGAAAGCAACUGACUGGGCCUGAUCUGACACUGAGGUACGAAAGCGUGGGGAGCAAACAGG
rnacentral:misc_RNA from 1 species